GCAGUCGAGCGGAACGAGUUAUCUGAACCUUCGGGGAACGAUAACGGCGUCGAGCGGCGGACGGGUGAGUAAUGCCUAGGAAAUUGCCCUGAUGUGGGGGAUAACCAUUGGAAACGAUGGCUAAUACCGCAUGAUGCCUACGGGCCAAAGAGGGGGACCUUCGGGCCUCUCGCGUCAGGAUAUGCCUAGGUGGGAUUAGCUAGUUGGUGAGGUAAGGGCUCACCAAGGCGACGAUCCCUAGCUGGUCUGAGAGGAUGAUCAGCCACACUGGAACUGAGACACGGUCCAGACUCCUACGGGAGGCAGCAGUGGGGAAUAUUGCACAAUGGGCGCAAGCCUGAUGCAGCCAUGCCGCGUGUAUGAAGAAGGCCUUCGGGUUGUAAAGUACUUUCAGUCGUGAGGAAGGCGGCGUCGUUAAUAGCGGCGUUGUUUGACGUUAGCGACAGAAGAAGCACCGGCUAACUCCGUGCCAGCAGCCGCGGUAAUACGGAGGGUGCGAGCGUUAAUCGGAAUUACUGGGCGUAGAGCGCAUGCAGGUGGUUUGUUAAGUCAGAUGUGAAAGCCCGGGGCUCAACCUCGGAAUAGCAUUUGAAACUGGCAGACUAGAGUACUGUAGAGGGGGGUAGAAUUUCAGGUGUAGCG
rnacentral:rRNA from 1 species